rnacentral:rRNA from 1 species
AGAGUUUGAUCCUGGCUCAGGAUGAACGCUGGCGGCGUGCCUAAUACAUGCAAGUCGAGCGAACGGACGAGAAGCUUGCUUCUCUGAUGUUAGCGGCGGACGGGUGAGUAACACGUGGAUAACCUACCUAUAAGACUGGGAUAACUUCGGGAAACCGGAGCUAAUACCGGAUAAUAUUUUGAACCGCAUGGUUCAAAAGUGAAAGACGGUCUUGCUGUCACUUAUAGAUGGAUCCGCGCUGCAUUAGCUAGUUGGUAAGGUAACGGCUUACCAAGGCAACGAUGCAUAGCCGACCUGAGAGGGUGAUCGGCCACACUGGAACUGAGACACGGUCCAGACUCCUACGGGAGGCAACAGUAGGGAAUCUUCCGCAAUGGGCGAAAGCCUGACGGAGCAACGCCGCGUGAGUGAUGAAGGUCUUCGGAUCGUAAAACUCUGUUAUUAGGGAAGAACAUAUGUGUAAGUAACUGUGCACAUCUUGACGGUACCUAAUCAGAAAGCCACGGCUAACUACGUGCCAGCAGCCGCGGUAAUACGUAGGUGGCAAGCGUUAUCCGGAAUUAUUGGGCGUAAAGCGCGCGUAGGCGGUUUUUUAAGUCUGAUGUGAAAGCCCACGGCUCAACCGUGGAGGGUCAUUGGAAACUGGAAAACUUGAGUGCAGAAGAGGAAAGUGGAAUUCCAUGUGUAGCGGUGAAAUGCGCAGAGAUAUGGAGGAACACCAGUGGCGAAGGCGACUUUCUGGUCUGUAACUGACGCUGAUGUGCGAAAGCGUGGGGAUCAAACAGGAUUAGAUACCCUGGUAGUCCACGCCGUAAACGAUGAGUGCUAAGUGUUAGGGGGUUUCCGCCCCUUAGUGCUGCAGCUAACGCAUUAAGCACUCCGCCUGGGGAGUACGACCGCAAGGUUGAAACUCAAAGGAAUUGACGGGGACCCGCACAAGCGGUGGAGCAUGUGGUUUAAUUCGAAGCAACGCGAAGAACCUUACCAAAUCUUGACAUCCUUUGACAACUCUAGAGAUAGAGCCUUCCCCUUCGGGGGACAAAGUGACAGGUGGUGCAUGGUUGUCGUCAGCUCGUGUCGUGAGAUGUUGGGUUAAGUCCCGCAACGAGCGCAACCCUUAAGCUUAGUUGCCAUCAUUAAGUUGGGCACUCUAAGUUGACUGCCGGUGACAAACCGGAGGAAGGUGGGGAUGACGUCAAAUCAUCAUGCCCCUUAUGAUUUGGGCUACACACGUGCUACAAUGGACAAUACAAAGGGCAGCGAAACCGCGAGGUCAAGCAAAUCCCAUAAAGUUGUUCUCAGUUCGGAUUGUAGUCUGCAACUCGACUACAUGAAGCUGGAAUCGCUAGUAAUCGUAGAUCAGCAUGCUACGGUGAAUACGUUCCCGGGUCUUGUACACACCGCCCGUCACACCACGAGAGUUUGUAACACCCGAAGCCGGUGGAGUAACCUUUUAGGAGCUAGCCGUCGAAGGUGGGACAAAUGAUUGGGGUGAAGUCGUAACAAGGUAGCCGUAUCGGAAGGUGCGGCUGGAUCACCU